rnacentral:piRNA from 1 species
UGGGUGGUGCCGGCUGAUCCAUUAAGUAC